AUACCCAUCCCAUCUCUUCAUCCAAGCAGAGCUGUGGAUCACACCGCUGUAGUACCCCAGCCUCUCUACUGCUCCCAGAGCACAUCCACACACUUUGAACCCUGACCUUGAAGCUCUGAUUCCUGAGUCCUAGUUGAAAGGGCCUCGCAACAACCCAUGAGAUCGGUGAUGACUGCCCCCAUUUGCCAGCUUUGCAGGGAGAGGUCAAGACCAAGACGAUCUUCAGGCCCAAGGGAGGCAGGGAGGAGGCUUGCAAAGCCCACCCCUGGGAAGAGGUGAGGACCAGACCCUUUUGGAAGCCUCCUCAGGCAAGGUGUCUAUGCAUGCUGUCUCACUUCAUCCUUGAGCAGCUCUGGGAGGAAGGUACAGUUACCCUUGCUUUACAGAGGAGGAAGCUGAGGCUUGAGCUGGAGCUCAGAAAUGGGGCUGGAGUUCCUCAUCAUUAUCUCAACUACCCUUGCCUGCUGGCCUGGAGGAUGAGGCUGGGACUGAAUUCUGGGCUUGGCCUGUCUCCACUGAGUCUGGCUGGCCGCCCUGCCUGUUGGCAGCUUGGAGUGUGGGUGUCGAGCUGGGCAUCUGGUGGGCUGGCUGGAGCUGGAAGACCCUGGGAAAGAUGAGGCCUCGCAACAACCCACGAGAUCUGUGAUGACUGCCCCCAUUUGCCAGAUGAGAAGCUGAGGCUCGGAGAUAUUGAGGAAUCUGUCGAGCGUGUUGCUCCACAGAGCUGACAGCUUCCCACAGUGUGUGAGAUGUGCCACAGCCAGGGGAGAUCUCAGGAAAAAGAGGCCCUCUUCAGGAGUGAAGCUGCUUAUGUGGAUUUCCUGACAGUGUGGACUAAUUGUCUUAUCUUCCACUCUCUACACUAAGAGUAUUUACACAGGAAUGACGCAGAGGCUUUUACCUCUGCAAGCCAAUUCCCAGGGCUGAAAGCCCACCUGAAAUUCCCAUCCCCCAUCAAUGAUGCCACGAUGGUUUCCAGAGCAACCACGAGGGAUGGCAUGGUAUGGGGGAGGGAACAGUGGAGAUCAGGAGGACAGGAGCCCUCCUCAGUGUGAGCCCUUCCCCAGCUCCCCCUGCAUCGGGAGCCAGGUGGGAGGGAGGCAGGAAGGGUGUGUGCCUUGAUGUUCUGGGCAACAACCCCACUGUUUCUCCCCUUUUCUCAGUAUCGGGAUUGAAUGUUUUUGUGAUGCAGUCUGCACAAUGGCCAGGCACUUAUAACACUCAGAGAACAUGGGUGGUUUCUGCAUCAUUUAUUCUUUUCUUUUUUAUCUCCAAUGUCCCAUACCAUUCAAGUAUUUGUGCACCCAGUCUUUUCCGUAUGCUAGGCACUGGGGACUCAGAGGUGAAGAGAUCAGAGGUGGCUCCUGCUCCCGCUGAGUUUACAGUUAGAAGUGGAGAUGAAACAAAUACCCUGACAUGUGCCGUCCUACCUUCACUCAAGACAAGGGCAAGGGAAGAGAAAUUAGGGAGCAGAGGGAAGAUUUUAUAAGAGAACCUAAUCUAGUCUGGGGAUUUUGAGAAAGCUUCCUGAUGGAGGUGACAUUUACAUUGAGACUGGAAAUGUGAGCAGGAACUGGCCAGAUGAGAUGUGAGAUGGGGAGGUGAGGGUUCCAGGCUGAAAGGACUGUGCAGAGGCCCAGUGGCAGGAAGGCAAACCUGGGGAGAUCUCAAAGAUUGUCUUGACCUACUGUCUUUCCUACUUUUUUUUUUUUUUGAGACGAGUCUCGCUCUUUCGCCUAGGCUGGAGUGCAGUGGCGUGAUCUCAGCUCACUGCAAGCUCUGCCUCCCAGGUUCACACCAUUCUCCUGCCUCAGCCUCCCAAGUAGCUGGGACUACAGGCACCCACCACUGCGCCCGGCUAAUUUUUUGUAUUUUUAGCAGAGACAGGGUUUCACCAUGUUAGCCAGGAUGGUCUCGAUCUCCUGACCUCGUGAUCCACCCACCUCGGCCUCCCAAAGUGCUGGGAUUACAGGCAUGAGCCACCGUGCCCGGCCUCCUACUUUAUAGAUGAAAAAUCUGAGGACAGUGACUUGUUCAAGGUCACACAGAGAAUGAGGAACUGGACUGGGAUUGAUCCUGGGGGCCAUUCCCUGUCUUCUAGCUCUUUCUCUGGUUCCAUCAGGCCUACCAGUUCCAAACUUCUCCCAAUUUCUUUCUUGGAUCACAAGUGAUAUAUCUGACUUCUCUCCCUCAACCCUCAGCACUGAAGGCACUGACUUGGAUGUGGGUCACUGGGGAAUGUUCUUCAGGUGGGAGGCAAGAGAGGAGAAGCCUUUAUGUUUGAAUGGGUGCUGCCAUGACCAGGCACAUCCCCCAGGCUGAUGGUGGCAUGCGAAGCGGAGCAGGGCAUGGGUGAGUCACCUCCUCACCAGCAUCUGAGCCAAUACCUCCUUGUCCAUGGCUCUGCUGUGGCCCUGGUGUGGCCCAGGGACUCCAAUGUCCAUUUCCUUCAGAGAGGCGAGUGGAACCUUCUGGUUGGAGGCCUUGUCAGAGCAGCCCUGAUAGACUUGGGGAUCCCAGAGGCUAAAGGGAGCCCUGGCAAACAACAGACCCAGCUUGGAGUCAUGGAGCCUCUCCAAAGGUUCUGCUGGAUCUUAGGCAUCUUCUGGUCCUCCCUUCCUGCUCUAAUGAUGAGGAACUUGAGUCCAGAGAAGGGAAGGGAUGUUAUUCAAGUCCACACAGGGACUCAGAGGCAGAGCUGGUGUCCUGCACCUUACUCCAAGGCUCUCAGCAGCUUUGAAGCAGAGGACUAUGGGAGGCCUUGAAGACUCCAUUAUGCGUGGUGCUGACAGCAAUGUCACCUUCCCUCAACACCUGCAGUACCAGGCAGGCUAGCAGCCAUUCGGUCAGAUUCUGAUCUGCCCUGGAAGUACAUAAGAUACUACCAAAAAUAAGAGUUAGAACCUAGGGGAUAGGCCCGUGGGCAGCAUCCUCACCCUUUCUCCACCGAUGCAAAUCUUACCCAGGGACAAGAUGGCAUGGGGUCACCAGCUGUGGGUCCCCCCUGGGUAAAUCACUUAGCCUCAGUUUCCCCAACUCUAAAAUGGGGAUACUGACCCAUAUUUCAUGGUGUGGCUCUGAAAUGAAAUGAAACGUGAGCUUCCUUCUCUCCCCAGCCACCAUUUGGUCUAUAGCUAGCAAUGCCUUUCUCUUUCUCUUUCUCUUCCUCUCCCUCUGCCUCUCUCUUUCUCUCCUCGUGAUGGUUAAUUUUAUGUGUCAACUUGACUGGACCACAGGGUGCCCAGGCAUUUGGUCAGACAUUAUUCUGGAUACGUCUGCGAGGGUGGUUCAGGAGGAGAUUAAUAUUUGAAUGGGUAGACUGAAUAGAGAAGAUUGUCCUCCCCAAUGCGAAUGGGCCUCAUCCAAUCAAUUGAAGACCUGAGUAGAACAAAAGGGCUGAAUAAGAGGGAACUCCUGCUGCCUGAUGGCCUUGAAUGGGGACAUCUGUCUUUUCUUGCCUUUGGACUUGAACAGAAACAUCAGCUCUUCUUUGGUCUUCAGCCUACUGGCUUUGAACUACACCAUCGGCUCUAUUAGGUCUUCAGCUUGCUGACUGCGGCGAAUCUUGGGACUUCUCAGCCUCCAUAAUUGUGUGAGCUGAUUCCUUAUAAUAAAAUUUUCUCUCUCUCUCCAAA